ensembl:snoRNA predicted gene, 22551
GUGCAUUUGAUUAAGCUGGCCAAGUCCCUUUCCCCGUGGGGCUUUGGUAUACAAUGGUUGCAGACAGCUAUAUGGGUUGCCUCAAGGGACCUUGGAGACAAUU